rnacentral:rRNA from 1 species
GAGUUUGAUCCUGGCUCAGGAUGAACGCUGGCGGCGUGCCUAAUACAUGCAAGUCGAGCGAACGGACGAGAAGCUUGCUUUUCUGAUGUUAGCGGCGGACGGGUGAGUAACACGUGGAUAACCUACCUAUAAGACUGGGAUAACUUCGGGAAACCGGAGCUAAUACCGGAUAAUAUUUUGAACCGCAUGGUUCAAAAGUGAAAGACGGUCUUGCUGUCACUUAUAGAUGGAUCCGCGCUGCAUUAGCUAGUUGGUAAGGUAACGGCUUACCAAGGCAACGAUGCAUAGCCGACCUGAGAGGGUGAUCGGCCACACUGGAACUGAGACACGGUCCAGACUCCUACGGGAGGCAGCAGUAGGGAAUCUUCCGCAAUGGGCGAAAGCCUGACGGAGCAACGCCGCGUGAGUGAUGAAGGUCUUCGGAUCGUAAAACUCUGUUAUUAGGGAAGAACAUAUGUGUAAGUAACUGUGCACAUCUUGACGGUACCUAAUCAGAAAGCCACGGCUAACUACGUGCCAGCAGCCGCGGUAAUACGUAGGUGGCAAGCGUUAUCCGGAAUUAUUGGGCGUAAAGCGCGCGUAGGCGGUUUUUUAAGUCUGAUGUGAAAGCCCACGGCUCAACCGUGGAGGGUCAUUGGAAACUGGAAAACUUGAGUGCAGAAGAGGAAAGUGGAAUUCCAUGUGUAGCGGUGAAAUGCGCAGAGAUAUGGAGGAACACCAGUGGCGAAGGCGACUUUCUGGUCUGUAACUGACGCUGAUGUGCGAAAGCGUGGGGAUCAAACAGGAUUAGAUACCCUGGUAGUCCACGCCGUAAACGAUGAGUGCUAAGUGUUAGGGGGUUUCCGCCCCUUAGUGCUGCAGCUAACGCAUUAAGCACUCCGCCUGGGGAGUACGACCGCAAGGUUGAAACUCAAAGGAAUUGACGGGGACCCGCACAAGCGGUGGAGCAUGUGGUUUAAUUCGAAGCAACGCGAAGAACCUUACCAAAUCUUGACAUCCUUUGACAACUCUAGAGAUAGAGCCUUCCCCUUCGGGGGACAAAGUGACAGGUGGUGCAUGGUUGUCGUCAGCUCGUGUCGUGAGAUGUUGGGUUAAGUCCCGCAACGAGCGCAACCCUUAAGCUUAGUUGCCAUCAUUAAGUUGGGCACUCUAAGUUGACUGCCGGUGACAAACCGGAGGAAGGUGGGGAUGACGUCAAAUCAUCAUGCCCCUUAUGAUUUGGGCUACACACGUGCUACAAUGGACAAUACAAAGGGCAGCGAAACCGCGAGGUCAAGCAAAUCCCAUAAAGUUGUUCUCAGUUCGGAUUGUAGUCUGCAACUCGACUACAUGAAGCUGGAAUCGCUAGUAAUCGUAGAUCAGCAUGCUACGGUGAAUACGUUCCCGGGUCUUGUACACACCGCCCGUCACACCACGAGAGUUUGUAACACCCGAAGCCGGUGGAGUAACCUUUUAGGAGCUAGCCGUCGAAGGUGGGACAAAUGAUUGGGGUGAAGUCGUAACAAGGUAGCCGUAUCGGAAGGUGCGGCUGGAUCACC